AUUGAACGCUGGCGGCAGGCCUAACACAUGCAAGUCGAGCGGGGUUUUCGGACCUAGCGGCGGACGGGUGAGUAAUGCGUAGGAAGCUGCCCGAUAGAGGGGGAUACCAGUUGGAAACGACUGUUAAUACCGCAUAAUGUCUACGGACCAAAGUGUGGGACCUUCGGGCCACAUGCUAUCGGAUGCGCCUACGUGGGAUUAGCUAGUUGGUGAGGUAAUGGCUCACCAAGGCGACGAUCUCCAGCUGGUUUGAGAGGAUGAUCAGCCACACUGGAACUGAGACACGGUCCAGACUCCUACGGGAGGCAGCAGUGGGGAAUAUUGGACAAUGGGCGCAAGCCUGAUUCAGCCAUGCCGCGUGUGUGAAGAAGGCCUUCGGGUUGUAAAGCACUUUCAGCGAGGAGGAAGGGUGGUGUGUUAAUAGCACAUCAUUUUGACGUUACUCGCAGAAGAAGCACCGGCUAACUCUGUGCCAGCCGCCGCAGUAAAAC
rnacentral:rRNA from 1 species